AUGGCUGUGGAGGCUUACAACAAAGAAAACACACAGACUUCUCAGGCAAUGCUGGGUAUUGAUGAUACUAAGUAUAAUGCUGAUGGGAUUCAGGUAGAUAAAAAUGAUGAUGCAUGUUCAUCUGUUACUGCUAUAUCUCAUGAUAAUAUAGCUCAUUUAAAUGUGGCUAUGGAUUAUGAGAAGGUGGUCGAAAUUGAAGGAGAGGACCUUUCCAAGUUGGGGAAAUUAGAAUAUCUGGUACAAUAUCCUCCCUCUUCUUCUGAGGAUGUGGGAGAGGUGAUUCCUACCCCUCCCCUUUUGUCUGAAGAGGUUAAGAGAUUUAGCUUGAGGAACUUGCAGAAUAUGGAAGGAAGAAUGCAAGAGAAAGCUAUUGCCAUUUCCAAUAAGAGAAAUCUGGAAGGAAUGCUGAAGCAAGAUGACGCGACUACCAUGAGGGACAGGGCGAAGAUGCUGAAGGAGAAUGCGUCGAUGAUGAUGAGAAUCUGUGCGGCGAACCACGAAGAAUUGACCUGCUGA
rnacentral:rRNA from 1 species